rnacentral:snRNA from 1 species
GUGCUUGGUUCGGCAGCACAUAUACUAAAAGUGGAAUGAAACAGAGAAGAUUAGCAUGGCCCUAGUUCAAGGAUGACACCCAAAUUCAUGAAGUGUUCCAUAUUUUU